GUGCCCAUUUGGGCAGCACAUACACUAAAAUCAGAAUAAUACUGAGGAUUAGCAUGGCCCUGCACAAGGAUGCCAUACGAAUUCGUGAAAUGUUCAAUAUUAAA